rnacentral:rRNA from 1 species
UAGGGAAUCUUCGGCAAUGGACGAAAGUCUGACCGAGCAACGCCGCGUGUGUGAAGAAGGUUUUCGGAUCGUAAAACUCUGUUGUUAGAGAAGAACAAGGACGUUAGUAACUGAACGUCCCCUGACGGUAUCUAACCAGAAAGCCACGGCUAACUACGUGCCAGCAGCCGCGGUAAUACGUAGGUGGCAAGCGUUGUCCGGAUUUAUUGGGCGUAAAGCGAGCGCAGGCGGUUUCUUAAGUCUGAUGUGAAAGCCCCCGGCUCAACCGGGGAGGGUCAUUGGAAACUGGGAGACUUGAGUGCAGAAGAGGGGAGUGGAAUUCCAUGUGUAGCGGUGAAAUGCAUAGAUAUAUGGGGGAACACCAGUGGCGAAGGCGGCACUCUGGUCUGUAACUGACGCUGAGGCUCGAAAGCGUGGGGAGCAAACAGG